GCCGCCGUGGCUUAGCUUGGCAGAGCGACUGAUUCGUAAUCAGUAGGUCGUGGGUUCAAUUCCCACCGGCGGCU
rnacentral:tRNA from 2 species